AUGAACUCUGUGUUCAAUUGACAUCUCUAUACUAUGAAGAUCAGUAGCAUUAUGUUUCCUGUUCAACCAUGAUAACCUUGAUCUCUUAGUUUUACUGUUAGUGCUUGUGCCUUCUUCUAUUUCCAAAUGUCAAAGUAAGAAUGAGAAUCCUUUGUGUCUGUUUCGAUACCAAGGUUCUCUGAACCAUUUUUGUAGUCCA
rnacentral:lncRNA from 1 species